rnacentral:rRNA from 1 species
GUGGGGAAUAUUGGACAAUGGGCGCAAGCCUGAUCCAGCCAUGCCGCGUGUGUGAAGAAGGUCUUCGGAUUGUAAAGCACUUUAAGUUGGGAGGAAGGGCAGUAAGUUAAUACCUUGCUGUUUUGACGUUACCAACAGAAUAAGCACCGGCUAACUUCGUGCCAGCAGCCGCGGUAAUACGAAGGGUGCAAGCGUUAAUCGGAAUUACUGGGCGUAAAGCGCGCGUAGGUGGUUCAGCAAGUUGGAGGUGAAAUCCCCGGGCUCAACCUGGGAACUGCCUCAAAAACUGCAUGACUAGAGUACGGUAGAGGGUAGUGGAAUUUCCUGUGUAGCGGUGAAAUGCGGAGAUAUAGGAAGGAACACCAGUGGCGAAGGCGACUACCUGGACUGAUACUGACACUGAGGUGCGAAAGCGUGGGGAGCAAACAGGAUUAGAAACCCUGGUAGUCC